AGAAAUUGGGUUUCUAUGAGAAGCAGAUUGUAGGUUUUCUAAACCCAAGCAGAUACAGGAAGCCUAUUCCUAAUCUACAGCAAGGACAACUUCCCCAACCUCAUAUUCAACCUAUGCAGCAACCCCAAUCUCAAGUUCCUCAAUUGCAGUCCCAUGAAAAUCAACUGAAUCCCCAGUUGCAAUCAAUGAAUAUGCAAGGUUCUGUACCAAAGAUGCAGCAGAACAAUAUGUCAAGCUUGCUGCAUAAUUCGCUUUCAACUUUAUCUGGGGAUUCGACGUCACAAUCAAACAUGAUGAAUCCAAUACAACCAGGCUCCAAUUUAGAUUCUGGACAAGGAAAUGCACUGAGCUCAUUGCAGCAGACACCUGUAGGAUCUGUACAACAGAAUCUCGUGAGCAUUUCCCAACCAACCAAUGUUAACACAUUGUCAACACAAAGUGGGGCGAGUAUGCUGCAGCCAAAUAUUCCCCUUCAGUCGAAUUCCAAUUGAUUCAACACCAGCAUCUAAAACAGCAGCAGCAGCAGCAUGAACAACAACUGCAAACACAACAGCUUAAACGAUUGCAGCAACACCAGAAUUUAAUGCAGAAUCAACAGAUGCAGCAGCAGCAGCAAUUACACCAGCAAGCUCCAUCUCCUAUGCCAGGAGAUUCUGACAAACCAGUUUCUGGUAUUUCCUCACUCUUAAAUACUGGAAAUAUUGUACACCAACCAUCUGUUGCACAAGCACUGGCUCCCUCCCUUGCAAUUGGCACUCCUGGGAUAUCUGCAUCACCUUUGCUUGCAAACUUUACCAGUCCUGAUGGUGCUCAUGGCGGUGCUUUGACAACUGUUUCUGGCAAGUCAAAUGUUACAGAGCAACCACUUGAGUACUUGAUUGAAGCGGUUAGUGAUGCUCUCCUUUUGGUUUUACUCCACCCCACCCUUAUUUUGGAGGUUUCUGAAAAAGAAAACUUCUUUGUGAAUGAGAUGGUGAUGCUGUAAUUUUUUUUCCCAGGUGAAAUCUCUGUCUCCCAAAGCACUUAGUGCAUCUGUCGGUGACAUUGGCUCCGUUGUCAGUAUGAUUGACAGAAUUGCUGGUUCUGCAGCUGGUAAUGGAUCUAGAGCUGCAGCCGGUGAGGAUUUGGUAGCAAUGACAGGAUGUCAUCUUCUUUCCUUUUUGUCUUUUAUAUUUUUCACGUGUUUCUCACAAGAUGGGAACUCGAGGGAAUAAAAAGUGCUGCUGGAACUUCUUGUGUAACACAUCUUCUUUCGAUGAUGACCUCUUGGAUGGCUGCAUGAAGCUUGUUCCGCUUUAAAUUUCAAGGUUAAUCUAUUGCUAUGAGCACUGGUGUUUCAAUUUGAAACUUGAGUUGCAACUGAACUUAAAUGAAUGGUGUUGGAUUUGGGGCCUUCUAUUAGUUUUAACUUGUACAGGGUUGAAGUGAUAUUAAUCUUAAUAGUGUAUGGUUUCCUAGUUUCUCAGUCUGAAGUUGAAUGUUUUGGUGAUAUCUCGACAUCCAAAAUCACAUAGACAGCUACUGCUGGCACUUGCAGUAGCCAAUGAGCACUGUAGAGUAUAUAUUGCAGCGUGAGAUAAGGUUACGUCAUUGCAUUUUCAUAAAUUAAAGGGAUUUCUCUUCUUUUCUUUGUCAAUUACAGUGCUAUUGUAAUGUUUUCACAGAGUCCCCCCGGUUUGCAACUAAUUCACUUAUAUAUCUUGGAGCAUAGCCAUAGCCAUAAAUGGAAGGUUCUUCCGGUUCAAGAAAAUUAACCACGAAGCUCGUAACUAGAAUGGCCACGUAAACUCCUAUAUCCUGUUAUCUAGAACCUUAUUUAAUCUGCUGUGAUGAAACAUAAGCUAUAGGGUCAAGCCUGAUAUUAUUAGUGAAGUUUUUUUUUGUGUUUUUUUGUGAUAGGAACAUUAAAGAAAAAAAGUAUCCGGCUGGUUCAUGUGCGAAAAUAUGAGGCAUGUUAAGCAAUUGGACCAGACUAUCACAUAUCAAAAUCAUAUGUUUCAAUGAUACUUGUUGCAAGAGUCUCCUUAAACAAUCCAAUGUGCUUUACUUGAUAUGUUUUUUUUUUUUAAUCUCAUUUGAGUAACACAAUUGAGGUACCCUUUUCAGUUCAUUCGUAAAUCUUUCCAAAACUGAAAUUUUGGCAGGUAACUUUUGAUGGGUCAUUGGUGAUUGUAUUAAUUUGGCUACAUAAAUAGUGCAUACUGUGAAAUGAUGUUUGCUGGAGCAAUGGGGCUGGAUGAAGGAGGGGAUUUUCGAGCUCAACGAAGCAGUGGAUGUCUGGUGCAGCAGCUGCUCCAGAUGGUCCUCACUAUUGGGGCAGCCUAUCGAGAUUGUUUUCAGGGACUUUUUUAAAGACAUUGAAAACUACAAUCUUGCUUUGAUUAGUGUCAAAUCUAAGCUAAGAAAUCAUGGUUUUGUUAAGCUUUGCUAUCAUCAGAGGCUUGAUAAUGGAAGGAUUAUUGUACUCUCUUACAUACACAUAAUGUUGUGCUGAUGAGCCAAAGAAGUUCUCCAUAGACUCGCCAACUAAGAGGAAGUUAUCGACAUCCUCUUCAUGUUAUAACAUGAUUAAGUAAAGGUAAGAUAAAAACAGUUAAAAGAUGAAUAUGAAGUUUAAAAUGAAAGGGGAGAAAGCAAACCCUAAACUCAUAAGGAUCCAUUAAUCAAAUUUAGCAUGGGUUUUGAUGAUAGGGAAACAUCUGAUUAGAUGUGGCACUUAUUUGAUAAAAUAUUUGUAAGAAGAGUGAAAUAACAUUGCAAUGAUAACUGAGACGCAUAUAAUUACUUUUCAGAAUCUAAAAAAAAAAGAUUAACAAACAUCUUAUGCCAUUCAUGACCAUAUUAUAAAUUUUGAGGACUUAAAAGGUCUAUAAGUGCCAACAUUUGUCUAACAACAGCAGCAACAACGACCUAGACAAAAACUCCCUGAAACUUAAUCAUGUUAAUUUUCAAUAACGAAGAGGUUUUACAUGGUUAAGCAUGAACUCAACCAUAUUAAAAAAUCUGGACAGCCCCACUGCAAGAUGUUCAAUUCGUGCUUCGUACGUAAAAGAAAUACAAAGAUUCAGAUCCAUCCUAAAAACACACAUAACUUAUCAACCUCAACCUACAGGCAAACAAAGGUUGAAACUGAGGUAAGACAUCUAAAGCAAAGGACAUUUCAGCCUCUGUUUUUCCUGACAUUUUUUUUCAUCAAGUGACCUCUACAAAGACCUGCUGUAACAUAUAUGUAUGACCAACACAAACAAACAUGCAAAAAGAAAUUUUUUCAGGGGAACCCAAGUCGAAAAAACUUUUUAAAAAAGUGUUGUCUUCGAAAUCAAAGCCUUCUAUCAUCAUAUGAAAUUUUUUUAAAAGGAAAAUCCUCGUACAACCUAACACAAAGCAAGAAUCCAACAAAAUCAAAGACUAAUGAAAAGAAAGACCAAAGAACUGAAAACAAACCAAGGCUGGAAUUAAGGGAAGAAUCUAAAGCAAAAUGAAACUCCAGCCUCUUAUUUCCGCGGCACAAAGUUUUUUCCUCACCCAAGUUACCUCUAGAAAAACCUGUUGCAAUAUAUAUAUAUAUAUAUGGAUAAGCAACAUAAAUAAACAAGCAAAAACUAAAACUUUUUUAAGGAAACCCAUGUCGAAAAAACCAUAAAGACAAUGUUGCCUUUAAAAGCAAAGCUUUCUAUCAUCUCUAAAGGUAAAAAGAUGUGUUCCCAAGCACAAAAGAAAUAUUUUUUUCUGAGGGAAAAAACUUUAACAACCUAAUACAAAUCAAGCACCUAGCCUAGCCAAAACAAUUGAAGAAAAAAGGUCGAUCUAGACUUUUCCCAAACACGUAGCAUGCAAGAAACACAUGUAAAGAAAACCAAGUAAACUUCCUUUCAAGACACGUGCCACCUUGUGCGAAACAAAGACAACACCACCUCUAUAAAGAAUGGAUAAUAGAGGGCUGAAGCUAACCAAAAGACUAUGCCCAAGAAACCUCAUAACUGUAGCAAAAAAGGCAGCCAAAGCCUCAAUAAACACACAUAUAGCCUAACAAUGCAACAAAAAACAGAGAGACAAUCAACAAAGAGUAAGGCAUUUUCCGAAGAAACAAAGAAAUUUAAUACCCUAAACUAAGCAGCAGGUAGAAGGCAAAAACUGAGCGUAAAUUUUCAGGAAGGGACGAACAAAAAACACCAAAAAGAAGGUAGAGAAAAAUGCAGACUCAAAUUCACAACACCCAUUUUCUUUUCAUUGGAACACUUUAGAUAGUUUAUUAAAUUUAUAAUGAUCUGAUUUCUAUGCAUAUAUAAAAAUCAACUUAAUGAUCAACUCUCUAUAAUUUCAGCAUGACUAAAAAAUCCAAACUAAUAAACUAUUAAUUAUUUUAGUCAUUUUAAUAAACAUUUUAGUUAUAAGUGACAAAAUAUUUUCAACAAUUCAUAUUGAUGCAUUAACAUGUAAUUUUAGAUUGUUUAACUUAUUAGUUUCUUUAUGAGUUACUUAUUGUAAAGCAUGUUAUAUAUCUCUAAGCAUUUUUAUUUAAUAUAAUUAUGUCAAAUUCAUUUUUGCCCGAUGUAUAAUAUAAAAUAUUCAUGGCUUUAGCAUUUAUGAAAAGUAACUUUUUAUCGUUGUCCGUAUAUUUACUUAUAGUUUUAGAAAUUUCAAUACUAUUUUCAAUUUUUAUAGGUCCAUGAGAUCUAUUUUGUAUGGAUAACUACAAAUUAAAAUAAAUAGAUUCACGAUAAAUUAUCAUAAAACAAUUUAUUACCUACUCCUUGGUGCUAGCAAUGUAAUUGUAAUAUUAUUUUUCAAGCUUACUCAAUCUCUGAUUCUUGAUAACACAACCAAGAAUAAAUGAUGAACUCAAAUUUUUAUGUUACUCUCUGUAAGAAUUUUGACUCAAGAAAUGUAAAAGAGAAGAGUUUUAAAAAGAUUAGAAGUUUUCUUCAUUAUCAAAACUAUGUCAGAAUUUUCUCUUUUUAUAGGUAAUUUUGACAUUUAAUUUUAAAAUAACUUUUAAGACAAAAGAUUACAACUUUCUAGUUUAAAAGUAUACGAAUAUAUUUCAAGUAGAGUUUUAACAAACAUAACUUUUCAUCCACAUCCUAACAAUCCCUCCACGUGAUAAAAUAAAAUACAAAGUAGAUACGAAAAUAGAAAGUAGGAGCGAAAAGUCAUUGCAUCGAGCAAGAUAGGUUUUGACCUUGAACCUUCCAUAGUCGAACUAUUGGAUUCACUCGGCUAACCAGCGAAUAUGAUGUCUUGAGUUGUUUAGCUGUUUGUGUGAAACCAAAUAAUAGAGAUUACACAAUUCAUUUUCUUAUAAUUUUGGUUCUCACAGUUAUAUUCAUUUUGGCCUUGAAUACGUCUUGAUUUCAAAGAGCAUUAGAGAAUUUGCAUUAUCAAUUCUCAUAGAAGUGGUCUCGUUUCAAACUCACAUAGGUAAUUCUUAUUAAGAGUAUCAUGUAAUACUUCUCAAGCUAUAAAAGUCAUUAAAAGCUUAGCUUAUCCUAUUUUGCUGCUGAUAGCACUUUAUAUAAUAUAAAUGGGUAAGAGGGACACUAUUGAAUUGACAUAUGAUUUGGUUGUCUAUUUGAACCUAGAACUUGAAAUCUCCAAUAAACUAGAUAAUUCAUUGAACUAUCUUAAUCUCAUUCUCCUUAGUGAUUAUCGACUUGCUCUAUUGUUAAGUAUUUUAUUAGCGAAUCCAUGAUAUUAUCAUUUAACUUUACAUGGUCAAUAAAGAUAAUCUCAUUUUAGAUCGAUUAUCUUACAAUAUUGACAAUUGUAUCAAUAUAUAUAUAUAUAUUAUACCCUUUCAAUUGCAAAUUAGCUAUUGAAAAAUUACAAUAUUAUUUCUUGAUUUACUCAAUAUUUUUAUUUUUGAUAUUACAUCCAAGAAUAAAUAAUAAGCCAUAAUUUAUCUGAUAUUUUCUAUAAAAAAUUGGAUAAAAAAAAUAUAAUAAAAAAUGAGAUAUUUUAUUUUAUUUUAUUAGAUACAACAGAGUGUGCAACGAAAACAUGGUGGUAUUUAUUGAUUUUUGAAGUGGACUUUAAAUGAUAGUUUAAGAAAUGAAAUUUUGGAGAUAAGUUUUGAAUAAUUUGUUUGAUCAUGAUGGUAAGACUUCGGUUCUUAAAGUUUAAAUUUGAGGACGAAUUUUGUUUAACGGGGGAAGUGUUGUAAGACCCAAACUUUUGGCCCAAACCUAAGCCCAAGUCAGCCCAAACCCAACCUAAGUUAACCUAGGUAUUUAAGGAAGAGUUGAAAGAGAAUUACUUUUCUCUCUUCUAAUUCUUGUAACCGCCGUGACCCUCCCCUACUCAAACCUAAGAUUUUAGUUUUUGAUCUUGAGUUUUCGGUUCAAGAAAGGUGAAAUAGCAAGUAAGUGGUUCUCUUUCAUAUUACUUUUGAUUAUAGGUUGUUUAUGGAAUGAUUAAAGAAGAGAUUAGGGUUUUAAGGCUUAGAAUUUUAUGUUGUUAAGAUUGAUUUAUGAUUAUUAAGGGUUAAUUUAAUAUAGGUGAUUAAUUAGUAUGUUGUUAGAAAUAAGAAUUUGUGAGUUGAUUUGUUUAAAUUAAUUCUUAUGGGGUUAAGAAAUUCAUUUUUACCUUUCUGGAAAAUCUGGACGGAAUGGUCUUGAGGUUGAAGAUAAUCAAAUUUUAUUUUGGUCCUUGAUUUAUGAAAAUUUCAGUUUAGUCCCUAAACUUUGGAAAAUUACAAUUUGACCCCUAAAUGUAUUUUGAGAUUCUGGACAGUGUUAUUAUGAGGUUAAUGAUGAUGAAUCUCAGUUUUAUAAUUGAUUUGGAAUAUUUUUAGUUUGGUCCUUUAAUUUUGGGAAUUUACAUUUUAGUCCCUAAACUUCAUAAAAUUACAGUUCGGUCCCUGAUUCAUUCUAGACAGAAUUGAGGAUGGUUUAUGGGUGAAAUUUCAGUAUGGUUAUGCAUUUAUAGUUUGGUCUAGUUUUGAUAAAAUUACGUUUUGAUCCCUGUUUUGGAUAAUUGUCGUUUUAGUCCCUAAACCUAAGAGACUAAACAUGGUUUUAUUUUAUGCAUUGAAAUCUUUUAAUUGUGUUGCUUUGAGUUGCUUUUGAGUAUAUUUUGUAUAUUUAUUGUAGGUUCUCCUAACGAUCCUCAAUAGGUUUUUCGGGUCUUUCAUCUGAUAUUCCUUUUGGUUCUAUAUUUUCCGAGUGAGUGGGAUAAUCUUUAAUAUGCAUAUAUUAUAAAUAAAUAUGUAUGUUGAUUAUACAAUGAGUACAACUAGUUAAUUUCUUGAAUAUUUAUAUAUGUUGCUUUAUUGUCCGAGUACUCAUUUAUUCUUGAAUUUGCACUCGCAAUCUUCGAAUUAAAUUCUAUUUGAUAUGAUAUACGUUUCUUUGAUGAUUCUGUAAAUAUCUAUUAUGCCUUGAUAUAGGACCUGUCAGUAACUCCAUGCUAACGGAGAGUAGUUAGCCUAUGUGCACAUAGUAUUCUAUAUAUCUAGCUGGUGAGAGAGGCAUUAGCCUGUGGCAACUGAUCAUCCCACAGUGGUCACCUUCGGGUGUCAUCUGGUCAUUUUUUAGUGUCAUCUGGUCAUCUUCGGGUGUCAUCUGAUCUCUGACAUGUAUUCCACUACGUUAUGAUAAUAUGUUUAGUAUGUAUAUGUAUAUCAAGAUAAAUCAUCUUGCAAACUAUUAAUAUCUAAAAUAUCUAAAAUGUAUAUUAAAUAUUAUUCCCUCACUGAGUUGGUUGAACUUACCCCUCAUUCUUAAUAUUAUUUCAGGUUCUUAGUUUCUGAUAGCAGUUGGACUUGUAGAGUGUUCCUGCUUCUUCAAUUUUGGUCGGUAUGCCUUGCUUGUUUUGCGAGGCUUUCCUUUUAGUUUUGAUUCGAUGUCUUAGACACUCCACUAUUACCUUGUUUUAAUUAAGUUUGGAUUUUGACAAUGUAAUGGGUAUUAUAGAUUAUUGUUUUUGUUUUAAUUACUAAUGAGGAGUUUUAAACUAUCUUUUGGUUUUAUAAGUUUUGAAUAAUAUAAUAUUUCUGAAGAUUAUAAAAUGCUGCAUAUUUUUGAAUAAAUUGUUCUUUUGAUAUGUCUGUUCUAAGACUUAGCGUAGAUGAGGUGUCCUUUCGACACCGCUUCUACGUUGCCGAUCAUGGACCCGAGAUUCGGGUCGUGAUAUCUCUCCCAGGAUAGUGUGGAGAUUAGCACGGUUCAGUCGUGCUUGAUGAAAAAGAAGGAUACCCAUUACUGGACUGUUAGUGUCACAUCGUGGGUGAGAGAUUCGUGACAAUGAUCUGCUGCCGUUUCCUUUGAAUCGGUGGGAUGAAGGAGAUGAAUAGCUUGUUUUGAGACGACGCUUUUUCACCCGAAAAUGACUAUUUUAAUUUUGCCUCUAGAUUAGCUUUCGGUGUCAUUUACAAAACCGUUAUUGGUUUUCAAUUUAAUUAAUUUAGUUUUUAAUUCCUCUUUAACUUUUAAUUUUUUAAAAAAUUAUUCUUGAAAAAAUCAAUUAACCCCUUUAUAGUAUCACAAUCUAUUCACUUUGGUACUUGGAUUUUAAUUUCUUGCAAUGUUUACCCAAAUCAGCCCCAAACUUUAGUAUUUCUUCAAUUAAACCCCAACUUUUAUUAAUUAAACUAAUUCAAAGCUUAUGUAAGUCCCCAAACUUAUCAAUUCUUUCAAUAUCUGACCAAAUUAACUUCUAAAUUUAUAAUUACAUCUUUAUUGGUCCUUAAAUUCACAAUUUGUGUUAUCUUGAUCCAAUUCUCAAAUUAUUAUAUUUUCAUUUUUUAUUUUUAUUAAUUUUUUUAAAAAAGUUAAUAAAAUAGGUUAUAACACAUGAUAUAUGGUUGGUUUAAAGGAACCGAUUGAUUUAUAUAUCAGAUUACAAAUCGAGAGGAAUCACGGUUGUUUUAUAAAACUGCGAAAACUUUCAACCAUAGAUGUUUUAUUCAUGCGUGUUUGAAAUGUGAAUCAUAUUGUUUAUUCUUACUAGGAAAGGCCUUUUACCUGUUCCGGAAGCUCUGUUAGCAAUCUUUCUGUUACUAAUAUAUAUAUUUUUCAAUUCAAUUUUUCCUUCUCCAGGAAACAUUUUAAAUUCCUCUACAUCCUUAGGCUUUGGUUCUAUUGAAUGCCACCUUCCAUAAUCGACCAGCGCAGCUGCCAUUGGAUGAUUUGAUUUACUCUCGAUGCUUGAUACCCUGAGAAACUUGCAUAAACAAUAUUACUUGCCAGUGAAGAGUAAAGUUCGCCAUAAUUGAAGAAUUAUGGACCUAGUCUUCACCAAUAAAGUAAUGCUAGUGGAAUCACUGCUACGCCAGCUGUCAUGAAUAUGAACAGUGAACUAAAAUGAAAACUUUCCCACAAAAUGAAAGGUAGGAUUGUCUAGCAAUGGAGCUGACGGUUCAUUCUAAACGAAUGAUGUGAAGGGCUGUCCAAAUACAGUUUUUUGGGGGAAAAAAAGAAAAAUCCAACCACAUCAAUUUAAUAAAUAAAUUGAACCGAUUUGAAUGGCAUGUUCAAAUUAAAUGUUACGAUUCACAGUUUAAUUCAAUUCAUUUUUUUUUUAUUAAAAAACCCAAUUUCAUCCUUGGGUUUUUUAGUUGAUCUUUUUAGAUAGACUCUAAUGUAAUGUGCAUGGUUUUUUUUUUUUUUAGGUUUUUUUAAUUUUUAAUUUUUAAAAAUCAAUUGUUUGGUUUCAUUCCGGUUUAAUUAUUUUUUAUUCUCUUAAAUCUAAAACAAAUUUAAGAUCUUUUAAAACUUUCUAAUCGUUUUUUUUUAAUUUGAUAUUGGUUGGUUUUUUCAAUUAAUUUUAUGUUGAUUUUUUAAAGUUAUUUGGUUAUUUUAUUCACUCAUGGAUAUAAGUAUCUCGUUAUAAGAACUAAAAAGAAAAAAAACAAUUACAUGUCGCAGCCAUGUUUUCACAUGGCCUCCGUAAAGUUCGAACAUUGAAAUGGACUCUAGACAAUAAGAAACUGUUUGUAAUUUUAGCAGAAUUGUUUUUUAAAAUGUUUUUUUGUUUAAAAUUAUUAUAAUAAUAUUUUUUAAAUUAAACAUCAAUAUAUCAAAAUCAUCUAAAAUAUUAAAUAAAUUAAUAUUAUUAUUUUUUUUUGAAAAUCCGGUUAACUGCAGGGUAAAGAUGUGUUUGAAGUAUGGUAGUGGUAGUUUUUCAAAGUGAUUUUUACUCGAAAAUAUAUCAAAAUAAUAUUUUUUAUUUUUAAAAAAUUAUUUUGACAUCAGCCCAUCAAAACAAUGUUCAUAAAAUUGAGCAUCAACCUAAAAAUAAACACUUAUUUGAAAACAUUAUUCCUCGAAAGCAAACAAAAAGCAAUAAUGCAGUUCAGUUACUAACCAAAUCAAUAUUAAAUGAUAAAAUAAAAUAUUAAAAACAAUUAAAAGACAAAAAAAAUAUAUUCUAAUGGUGGGUAAACUCAUCAAACCUGUAAAUCGAGUAAGCCGAGCUAAUAUGUAAAACCUGUAAAUUGGGUCAUAGACUCUACUAGAAUUAUAAUUUAUUUUUUAAUUAUUUUUUAUUUAACUAUAUGAUAAUAAAAAUAGAUAAUUACAAAAUCAAAUACCAACUUAACACCGAGAUUUUUUUAGCUCGUGAUAACAUCACAAAAUGUGAAACAAAACCAAUUAUGAAACUAAAUUUACAGUUAACUCAAUAUCCAAUAAUGAAAAAAAAAAUAAUUUAAAAAAGUUAAUCUUGUCAAAUCCACGAACCAAGUUAACUAGCCAAACAUAUCCUGAAAUUUAUAAAGUUUAAUAAAAUAACUUCUUUUAAAAUUUAUUUUUUUAACUAUAUAAGAAAAAAAUAAACGAUAAAAAAAUCAAGUUUAAUUAAAAAAAAAAGACACCCCCACAAAACUCAGUAAAUUAGGGCAACUUAGGUUACCUAGCAAACCCAUAAACUAUGUUAACCUUAUAGAAAUGUAAAAUAAAAAGAAACAAAUUAUAAAGUUAAAUUCUCAACCAUCUUAAUAUUAAAAGAUAAAAUCGACAAAAAUAAAUUUGAGAAAAAAUCAUAACAAAAAUUAAAAAACAAAAAGAAAAAUGAGAGAAAGCAAAACACUAUGAUUACUAUUGUCAUUCAUAAUGCAAUCUGUGUAGGUGAAUAAUGGUUUUCUCACACCCUUUAAUUUUUGUUAUUGUAUAAAGUUUAAUAACAUGAUUUUUUAUAUAUAUUUUUUAAUUAAAUGAGCAAAAAAACUCAUAAAAAAGUCGAGUUUAAUUUUUUAAAAAAAAACAACAAAAAAAAAAAAACUCGUAAACCAGAGCACCCUAGGUUACCUUAGCAAACUCGUAAACUACACUAAUCUCAUGUAAAGGAAAAUCAAAAGAAGCAAAUUACAAAGCUUAUUUUUCAACAAUUCUAAUUUUAAAAGAUAAUAUUGAUAAAAAUAUAUUGAUAUCUGAUUUCAGUCUGAUUAUCUGCGUAAAAUAUCUCAGAAGAUGUUUGCAAUGGAGAUCAAGUCUCAAAAUACCAUACCCACUGGCAAUGGAUCGAGAUUUGACAAAUUAAUACAAUGCUGUAGCCAAACUAAUACAAUCACCAACGACCCAUCAAAAGUGAAAUGAUGUUUGCUAGAGUAAUGGAUGUCUAGUGCAGCAACUGCUCCAGAUGGUCCUAGCAGUAUAUCGAGAUUGUUUUCAGGGACAUUUUUAAAGACAUUGGAAACGACAAUCUUGCAGCGAUUAAUGCCAAGUAUGAACACGUCAAAUCUAAGCUAAGAAAUCAUGGUUUUGUUGAGCUUUGCUAUCAUCAGAGGCUUGAUGAUGGAAGGAUUAUUGUACUCUCUUACGAACAUAUAAUGCUGUGCUGAUGAGCCAAAGAAGUUCUCCAUAGACUUCCUAACUAAGAGGAAGUUGCCAUCUAUUUCUAACUCAACAAGGAAAAGAGUCUUGGGCAAGUCAAACAUGAAUUUUGACCAGUUAGGAAACCAAUGGCUGGCAUGUUUUUGGGUGUUUUCUUUUUUUGUUUUCUGAGAGCCAUAACUGGCAUUUUUGUUCUCUCAUCAAGUGCAGACGACACCAAAGGCAGAACACUCUGGUGUUCUUGACAAUUCGACACAUUGCUUUCUGAGGAUUAGGUGAAUAUGGUUCAGUCUAUGCCAUAAGUAUGUCAAGCUACCAUUAUUUUUUAUUUUUAUUUUUGUAUUCUUUUUUGAACAGUAACAAAAUUCAUUAAUUUAGGAAAGGGCAAAGCCCAGAUAACAAAUAACAUCCACACUUGCAAGGAUUUAUUCGUCAGGGAUAUUGAUUUGUUCGUAUCCUAUCUCUUUGAAAAAAAAUGUGGAUUAAUUAAUCUAUGCUCAGUAUAGUAUUUCCAGGACUAUUCUUUCUUUAAUAUGUUAAUUAACACCCCGAGCCUGCCCAGUUUUUUUUUUUUUUUUUUGUAGUUUGCUAAUGUGAUGUAGAAUUAUAUAUAAAUCAAUCUCAUCAGAAGAUGCAAAUAUGGGCAUAAAAUAUAUCGUGGGAACUUCAAUUUAGUCGCUGAAAUAUACUUAACUUCAUAAAAAUUGAAUUCUCAAAUAUUAAGAAAGAAAUACAAUACAAAAUAGCAGACUAUACAUUACAUUCAGGUAAGAAUUCACAUCCAUGCCCGUAUAUAUUAAAGCACUACUAUCUUGGUGAUAAGCUGCCAGCUGCAUUCAUUUUCUUUUUUUUUUUCUGACAAAUAUACUUGUUAAGUUACAUUGCAUACAAGUAAGAAUUCAUAUACAUUCCCAUAUUAAGCUCUAUUAUUUUUGUGAGCUUCGUCCAUUUUCUUGAUUUCUGACGAGUAUAUUUAUCGGCGAAAGACAACAGAAAAUUGUGCAGACCACACGUUUAUCCACAAUGCAGCAAAACAAACACUAUUCUGCAGAAGCUUUAAAUGACCAAUCCACGGCUUUCUCCAGUCUUGGAGUUUCUACUGCAUAUACAAUUGUUAAAAGAGCCAAUUUGUUAUUAGUCUUGGAAACAAAAACAAUAUAGAGAGAUAUUUUUUUUAAAAAAAAAAACGAGACUGCUUCAUAGUUUCUGCAGUCUUUACAAGAUGAGUGCUAUUCAUUUUCAAGUAAUACAGGAAAGCAUGUAUGAUAAGUAGUGGAUAUAAACUUUGAAUGUACAGUAAGUAUAUUCAAUGAAUGCAAUAAAAAAAAAAUUUCAACGAAAAUGAAGUGAAUGAAAAUUAGUGCACAAAUCAAGUGUUCAGGGGUUCAAAUAUGAGCCAUAGUAAGUUGGAGACUUGGAUUAUCGACAUUUAGUUUCCACUAUCCUUGAGUUAUUAUUAAAUUAAUUUCACAAACCAAGUUAAUUGGUUACUAAAUGUAUACAAAAAAUUAUUAGGCGAUUUUUUUCCCCCAAGAAUCAAAGUCUAAUAACAUUUUAAAUUUCAAUUUCAUGAUUGUUAUUUUUUAAUUUUAACAAAGUAUCAUUAAAGAGGUAUUUAUAUGAAAGCAAGUUAAUUUUAUCCAUUGGUUAAUCUUAAGAAUUAGUGGUAAGCCAGAUUUAAAGGUGGAUACAGUUCAAAUUUCAUAUCUUUACAAGGGAAGUUGUAAGAGGGAUGGUUGGAUCAAGCAUUGUAGUCAAAGCAUCUACAAAAGAUACUCCAGCAAAAGCAACUUUAAACAAAUCAGGCCUCAUAUUAAGGACGGAGCCGAUAAGCAACCCCCCUGCAUUCCUUCCUUCAAUACACAGUUUUUCCUUUGCACAGAACCUCUGUUCUAUUCAAUACUCAGCACAUGCAAUAAUAUCCGUGAAAGUAUUCUUUUUCUUUAAGUACUUCCGAUUCUCGUACCACUGCCUUCCCAUUCCACCACCUCUACGAAUAUAAUACCCCAAGCUAUAGAAGUCAAAAUCAAGAAUAAAAAAUAACUAAAUCAUAGCUAAUCUAGCUUUUUAAUAGUGUAAAUUUUUUUAAAAAAAAUUUAUAAUGGAGAAAGAUAAACAAAAUCAGAAAGCAGGGCAGGUUGGGGGAUUUGGAUCUUUGCCCAAAACUUUUGUGAUGUUUUGAAAAUAAAAGUGGAUAUAAAAAGGUAACAAAGGGGCUUGGAGGCUUGGAAGGAGGUAUAAAUUAUAAAACUUGAUAUAUAUAUAUAUAUAUAUAUAUAUAUAUAUAUAAAGGAAAUAGGGAUCUGAAAAUUGAGGGUGAGUGACAGCAGGAGAGAAGAAAAGGGAAAGAAGAAAAAGAGAAAAGAAGGAAAGAUAAAGGAAGGAAAAGAGAGUUAAAGAAAAUAAGUAUAAAGGUAAAAUUUAGGUUUUGAUAUGCAUAAAUGUUCUUUUUUUUAGCUUUAAAUUUCUGUUUUGUUGAAAAUUAGUGUUUUGAAAAUUUUGUUUUGGUUGAUUGAUAAAUUAAUUUCAAUGUUAUGAGUUGUUUGUUACGAGUAAUUAAUUAUAUAGUUGAUUUUGAAAGAUUUUAGGUAAAAAUAAUGAUUUUGAGUUAUGAUUUGUUUAAAUGAUGAAUUUGAGUUAGAAAUCUUGAUAUAAUAGUAGGUGAUAUGUGGAAAUUCUGGUUUGAGGUUGAAGAUGACAAACUUCCAGUUUGGUCCCUUAAUUUUUAAAAAAUUACAGUUUAGUCCCCAACCUUUGAAAACAUUACAUAUUGGUCCCUCAAUUUGUAAAAAUUACAGUUUCAUCCCUCAAUUUGUAAAAAUUACAGUUUAGUCCCCAACCUUUGAAAACAUUACAGAUUGGUCCCUGGAGCAUAGUCCGACAUGAAUUUAUGACAUUUUCAAUUUGGUCCUCCCAUUUGGUGAAAUUACAAUUUGACCCUAAAAAUUUGAUAAAAUUCCAGAAUGAUCCCUGGAGCAUAAUUAGAGAUUCCGGACAGAAUUGAGGAUGAAUUUCCAGUAUAGUCAUGAAUUUAUGACAUUUUUAGUUUGGUCCUCUAAUUUGACAAAAUUAUAAUUUGACCUCUAAAAAUAUGAUAAAAUUCUAGAUUGGUCCUUAGCUUUAAUAUUAGUUUUUUUCAUAUUGGUUUGAUGAAUAAUUGAGAGUCAUUUAGUGAAUUAUCAUCAAGUUUUAUUAUUUGUUUUCUUAUGACUUAGGGUUUCGGGAAAACCGUUUAACUUUUUUGUUUUUGAAAAACAUUACUAGUUGAGUUCAAAAAUAUAUAAGGUUAUGGAAUAAACUUUUAGUUAAAUAUAUUAAAUAAGUUGUAUAUUCUUUUUUUUUAUAAAAAUCAAGAAUCUUUGAACAGUUUGAAGGUCUUCGUAACCUCAAGAGGUAAGUAGCACAUUCACAUCAAGAUUGAUGAGAAUUUCUUCAGCUAAGUAAUUGGUAUAGCAACUUCACUUUCAGAGAUUAUUCUGUAUGUUCCACUGUUUUUAUUCAUGAAUAUUUUCAUGGCAAUAAUUGCAUGAAACAAUGGACCAUCUCUUCAACUGCUGAGCUUUCCUUUAUAUUUGCAGCUGUAAUUUGGGAUAGCAAUGUCUCUGACAUGAAGUUUGGAUGGCUUGAUCUCUUUGCAUCAAGAAUGUCAAGUUACUUAAAUGUAUUAUUCACAAGGUGACUACAAGAGACACAUUGGAUGGUGCUGGGCCCAUGAAAGCUUGAUCUGUUUUUUGUUCGUUGUUCAAUUGAGGAUUUGUAGAUUGUUCCGUUCGAUCCUCUGUCCUUGGAUCAUUCAUGGGUGUUUUGACAUGUACUUAUUUCACUCUUAAUAAAGUAUUUCCCAUUAUUAGUGCUUAAUUUUUCAAUCCAAACCUUGGUUUUUUACCUGGAUCAAUUUGAAUCUGAAAGAAGUACCAAAAUCUAGUGUUUCAAGUACUCAGUGGUUGCAGGGGACAGCUCUCCUUCCUUCGAACUCUGGUUCGAGUCCCAGUAAAAGUGGGGCUGGAGAGUUUGUUCCCCUCGUCUCUAUUGAGUCCUCCCUGUACGGUAUGCUUGUCAUCCCCGCGGUGCCUUACAUGCUCACUGGGUUUGCAGGAUGUUCAGUGAGCCGUGGAAUUAGUCGUGGUGCGCGCAAGCUGCCCGGACAACCACGUAAAAAAAAAAAAAAAAGUUAACAGAAAUAAAUGUACCUUUGCCUGUCCCUUCAACAAAAUGCUGAGCUGUAUAUUAAUUCUCAGAGGCAGUGAUAACUAGCUGUUCUAACUAAUCCCUAUACUUUUAAAUAUUUUUACAAUGCGGUCCCUUCAUUAAUUUUUCGUUAGUAAGAUGUUGAGCUUUCAGCAAUAUUUCCUUAGUUUGUGCCGCUAACUUAACGGUAAAAUGUAAUUCAAGGAUCAAUUAGUUAUUUGAAUGAACUUGAGGGAUUAAUCUGUUUGUUUAACACAAAUACAGACACUAGUUAAAUAGAAUUUAACUCAAAUUUUAAUUAUCAUAUGCGUGCGUGCGUGCGAGCGAGCAAGCUAGUGUUUACUCGUUAAUUUUUUUAGAAGGAAUCUGGAAAAGAAUAAAGUCAUCCAUUUCACUUGGGCCCAGCAUUCCUCACCUCUCCCCGCCCGAGCUCUCACUCCCUCCCUCCCUCCUCCGCCUCUCGGAAACCGCCGCCGCCAAGAAGGCUUCAGAUUUCUGCCAGGUGCUUCUAUUUCUAUCAUGUUUUUGUUUUUAAAAUUUAUGGGUGUUUUCAUUUAUUUUAUUGUAAUUAUUACUCAGAGACAGAAAUUCUAUUUUAAUAAGUAAAUUAAAAAAAAAUAAUCGAUCCGAUGAAAUCUCUGCUAGUGAACGCAAUUCGAAUUUAAUAAGUAAAUUAAAAAAUAUAUAUAAUCGGAUCCGAUGAAAUCGUUGCUCGUGAACGCAAUUCAAAGAAACGCACAAUCAGCCGAUUCUAAUAAUUUCUUUUUCAAUUUUUUCCCCUUAAUUUACAUGAUAUUAUCCGAUUUUUCUCACAGUUAUUGUUGUAAUAAUCAAGCCCUGAAUUCUUGAACCCAAAUUUAUUUUAUUUUAUUUUAUUUUUUAGUGGAGAAUAGAAAUCAAUUCAAAUCUUUUAGGCUCGAUCGAUAAUUUGUUAAUUAGUUUAUGCAGCAGCUGGAGUGGAAGAGAUAUUACAGCCGGAAUGGCCGAAAAAUGAGCUGUUUGGUGGAUUCUUCUUUUUUGGAAUUUACUGAAUUCUUCAAAAUUAUUGUGUUCUUAACAACAAUACGAUAUCCUUGGGUUUUAUGCUCGCUCACACAUGGAAACAAGAAAGAAAGAAAAGAACUUUAAAUUUUAUAAUUUGGUCAUGUUAACGUGAAAAAAAUAAAAAUAACAGGUCUGCCUUGAUAACCCUACAUGAUAUAUCUUUCUUUUUAGGACUGCUCAGCUGGUCUUGAGUAUGAGGUGAAAGCUUGAGUAGGACAGAUAGUCCUAACCAAGGACUGUAUUGUGAUUGAUUGAGUUGAAAGUUAAGAGCAUGUGAAAGUGUAAAACAAAUGACCUAGUUCACUUCACCCCAAAGGCGCACCUGUGCAUCUAGUUAGGAAGAACAUUUUAUAACUUACCUCAAGGUCGAGCAUGGUCAAGGUUAUUGUGUUGUCAAUUCCGAGAAAGAUGUGCCUGCAAAUUUAAUCUUAUUUCAACAAGAGUUGUUAAGUUGAUUCUUAUCAGUCUGCUCUUUAGAGUUGAUGAUAACAUGAAAUAUUCAUGGUUAAUGCUUGUUGUUUUCUUCUUCAUUUUCCUAGCUUAAAACAUCCUAGACAAUCUCUUCAUGUUCUAUUUUCUGGGAUAUUUAGACUGCUGAUAUUCAUCGGGGAUUGAAAAGCCUUGUUUUAUUACUUUGUUUUGUUUUCUUCUUCUUUCUUUAUUCUUUUGGGGAUGUGGUAUUCUCCUCUUUCUAUUUACACUAUUUCCUCCACACAACAUUUAUUCUUUCAGAAAAGUUAAUUCAUACAUAAAUAACAAGAACGGGGGGGUUUGACGGUAUGUAUUUGGUUGCGAGUAAAAAUUGGUAAGCACUCGAAAAAGGUCCUGUGCUGAAUCUAAAUUGGUAAGAUGUGAUAUACUGAUAUCUAGAAAGAUAACUUAAUCUAUCUAUUGAAGUAAAGCAUUUAAAUGCGUAUACAAUGUUUUUGGAACAUUAAAUAUCUAUUUGAUCAGAAUCUGUGAACCUAAAACCACAAUGAAUACAAAUGCAAGUUUGUCAUUGUAAACAUUGCAUCAAUGAUGCAUCACGAGUGUUGCUAGAAAACAUCAAGUUAAAAUUGAAGCACCAUGAGUUUCUCUAUGGCUUGGUUUACCAACACUCACCAUCUGUUGGUGCGGCAAUUUAUGAACUAGCUGGCUAGUUUUUUGCUUCCUUGGUUUUAGAAGCACCAUGAAGAUUCAGGCCCAAAUCUUGCUUAUAAUACCCGUCUACCUGAAUACCCAAGAUCCUAGCACCUUGCCUUGAAUGGUCGUGUAUAUUUGUUAUGGCUGUUCAGAUUUUAUGCAUCCAUAUUUGGUAGAAUUCUUUAAUAAAGUACAUGCUAUUAGAUGGAAGUUCUUUUUAAAUCUAUUCAAGUCUGAAUAAACUGAUAUUCCAAUUUUCAUGACUUUGAUGUGCUCUUACUCUUCUGUUGUUCCUGACUUUCUUUUUAGGGUCUAUUCUAACAUGCAAUAUAAUUAAUUUUUUUUUUUUGUGAUAGAAGUGAUUUUUUUGGUUGGCCAAACCCCAUGGAUGCCAAUAAUUGGAGGUCCACUGCCCCAGGUGGAGAACCUGUGAUGGACACAGGUGAUUGGAGAACUCAACUGCAACCUGACUCACGGCAAAGAGUAGUCAACAAUAUGUAAGUAUCUGUUUCCUAAUAUGUGCAAGUGCUGCAAAAUAGUAAAUCUUGUAUUUAAAUGAAAGAAAAAGAGAAGGGCAAAAGGUUAAUUAAAAUCAGCAGGACUGCCAUGAGGCAACCUCAAGUAUCAUACACCUCUGUUUUUGUCUUUUUCAUUUUUCACGUGUUUCUCACAAGAAGUGAACUUGAGGGAAUAAAAAGUGCUGGGAAGUAAUUUUUGUUUGAACUUCUUGUGUAACAUAUUGUUUUGAUGAUGACCUCUAGGAUGGCUGCAUGAAGCUUGUCCGCUUUAAAUUUCAAGGUUAAUCUAUUGCUGUGAGCAUUGGUGUUUCAAUUUCAACCUUGAGUUGCAACUGAACUUAAAUGAAUAGUGUUGGAUUUGAGCCUUCUAUUUGCUUUAACUUCUACAGGGUUGAAAUGAUAGUGAUCUUAAAGUACAAAAGCAGCUGACAAAAAUCAUUUAGCCACAAUAGUGCAUGGUUUCCUAGUUUCUCAGUAUAAACUAUAAAGUUGAAUGUUUUGGUGAUAUCUCUACAUCCAAAUUCAUAUAGACAGCUAGUGUUGGCACUUGCUGUAGCCAAUGAGCACUGUAGAGUAUAUAUUGCAAAGUGAGAUAAGGUUAACUCAUUGCAUUUUAAUAAAUUAAAAGGAUUUCUCUUCUUUUCUUUGUCAAUUACAGUGCAUGUAUAAAAGUUUUCUUACUCAGACUAAAUGCUAUUGUAAUGUUUUCAUAGAGUUCCCCUGGUUUGCAACUAAUGCACUUAUAUACCGUGGAGCAUAGCCAUAGCCAUAAAUGGAAGGUUCUUCCAAGAAAAUUAACCAUGAAGCUCGUAACUAGAAUUUUAGACAGAAGGGUGGCCAACUGAACUACUAUACCCUGUACCUCUGGAAUAAUACGGGGAAAGGAAGUAAAAAUAGAUGUCUGUAUGUUGAUGCCAUAUAUUACUUGAUCGACACUCGGCUAUAUCAUUAUUUGUUUUUACUUUUUGCUAAUGAUUCCGUUGUAUACAUUUCUGAUAUUGGUGUGGUGUAUGAGUUCACGGUUCUUUCUCACUGCUGCUAACUUCUCUAUACCUGCCUUGUCAUUAAAAACUAAAUGUAAUGUUUUACAUGUGUAGAAUGGAGACAUUAAAGAGGCAUCUUCCGUUUUCUGAUCAAGAGGGAUUACAAGAACUCAAGAAAAUUGCCGUACGGUUUGAGGAAAAGAUUUAUACUGCUGCUACCAAUCAGGUAUUCGGCUAAUGCUAGGUUCAAUAAUUUCGAUACUCUCUAGACAUGAAUAUACACAUGCAUAGGUUCAAUAAUUUCGAUAUUCUCUAGACAUGAAUAUACACAUGCAUAAGUUUGUGGAUUUAUGUAUGUACACGUGUGUGUAGUGUGUCCACACCUCCUCACUGGUCAUUUUGUAGAGGUUCUCAUCUUUUCGUUAAUUCUCUUGGCAAGUGUUUUAUUUAGAGUGACCAAGGUCCUUUUCAAGUACAAGGGAAGUGUGCAAAAUGCAAAUAACGAAUCAAUACAUAAAUAAUUAAAUAAAAAGAGAGGACACAGAAGUAUAUCCUCACAGAAGAUGCAAAUACAAAGAGCCUAGCAUAUUAGAAAGAGCAUAAAUCCCUUUUCCCCCUUCUCUUGUAACAUGGAUUGCGCAGAGAUCUAAUCUUUUGUUAUUGAUAUCUGAUUUCAGUCUGAUUAUCUGCGUAAAAUAUCUCUGAAGAUGCUUACAAUGGAGACCAAGUCUCAAAAUACCAUACCCACUGGCAAUGGUAACAAACCCCUGGAUCCAGGAGGUAAUAAUGCAGCCAAGCAUUGAAUUUCUAAACAUCCUUACCUUUUGUUUUAUAUUUCGCAUUGUUAUCAAACUCUUUUACAUUUGAUUGCUGCAUAUUGCUAUGUAUAUACCAUGCUUUAAUAAAAAAGUUGAGUAAUUGAUGAAUGUUCAAAAAAAUUACAGAUUAUUUUUGUACUUUUAUGCUUUGAGGUAAAACCAUCUUAAUUAUUUCCCUCAUAACUUUACGUGUGAACUGUCAUUGUUUCAUUUGUUUUUCUUGCUCAAUGCCUUCUUUUUUUCCUUUGACAUGGUUUUCCUUUUUGCCUUCUAUCUUGAACAGCAUCUCAUAGUAUGCCGCCUCAAGCUCACAACCAAGGGCAGUCGCUCCCUAUCUCAUUGCCCACUAAUCAGUCUCAAGCAUGUCAGCAGUUAUCACAGAACAUGCAGAAUAGUAUAUCAUCUAAUGCCUUCUGUUUCCGGUUUAACCCAGACUAUCUCAAACACUGUUGGACAGAAUGCUAACAUGCAGAGUAUCUCUGGUGUUUCACAUAACCCAGUGGGGAAUUCAAUGGGACAAGGGAUUCCCUCCAAUAUGUUUGUCAAUUCUCAGAGACAAAUGCCAGGCAGGCAACAGGUUGUUCCUCCACAGCAACAGCAGCAGUCCCAAAAUCCUCAGCGGUAUCUUUAUCAGCAGCAGAUACAACAACAGCUUUUAAAGCUCUCAUUUUGAAUUUAUCGGACAUGAAUUUUAAAAAUAUAUGUAUAACUGGACAAUGCAUUUGACACUAUGGUAACUAAUCAUCAGCCAAUUGAUUUUUAUGGGAAGAAAGAAAUUAGCAAGUGGACUAACUCUGAGGCACUUAAGGUUUGGUGUGCUGAUAAAUCAUCACCUUGCUGGAAAAUCUCAUGGUCACCUCCUCGAUGCUAAUUCUGUAAGGCAUGUGUAGUGUUUCAUCCUUAACUUGUUAAGGAACAAGGACUGUGAUGCAUGGCUAUCUAUAUUUUAUGAUUGAGAUGGUUUUUUAAAGAUUUUCCUGGUUAGGAGGUAAAGUGUCACUUUUGUGCUUUUCUUCCAUGAUAAAUUGUUUGAGCCUUUUUUUUAAUAUAUAAUGAUCACUUGUUGGAGGGGGUCUCUCUGUCUGUUUGAAUGAUUACAUAACGUUGAGAUGGAGUUCCUAGUACUCCAAGUCCAAAAAGGACUUGUAUUCCUAUGUAAGAAAAUACUAAUGGUCUAUCUAGGAUAGGGAAAACCUAUUAAAGCUCCUUAUUCUUUAGGAACAAUAAAAUACUAAAUAGAAAUAAAACCAAGACCUACAAUAUUCCAUAAUUUUCAGCAAGUGUGAAAAUUACAGAAAUACCCUUGUGUGCAGAAAACAUUCAAAAAAUACAUGAAUUCUAAUCUUUUGUUGGCUGUAUCAAAAUUUUUGUAGCAUCCCUAGAUUCUACAGCAGAGACUGGACAUGCAAAUGGUGCUGAUUGGCAAGAGGAGAUCUACCAAAAGGUAAUUUCUGUAGUUUACUGUUCAUGUAUGUCAUCGUCUUGCAAGAUUUCAAUGGAAAAGGUCUCCUGGAAUUUGGUACAAGGGAGUUUUAUUCAGCUAUGGUUGUGAUUAGUUAGGAAGCAUUGUAAGUUCCAUGAUUGCCGUAACUAAGAAACGAUAAAUUACUGAUAAGAUGAUUAAAGGUAAAUAUUCAGAUUUCUAGGUCAAGAGGGUUAUUUUCUUGGUACUGACAAUUUUUUCUAUUGCAAAUCUCUCCCUUUCAAUUUUUUCCCUGUAUUUCCAUACAUUUAUUUGUGUGGUGAAUUAUUAUUUUAUUAUUUCCAAUAAGUCCAAUUGACAAUACUUCUUACUAUAAUAGACAGACUAGAAAACAAGAGUGAAUUGUUUCUGAAUAGUCAUCGUUAUAUUUGGUUAAGUGAACAGUUAUUUUCAGGAUUACAAUCAAAUUUGUUCUGAAACAUGUGACAAUGGAAGAAAGGAAAAUAAGUGGACCUAAUCCAUUGAAUCAUGACCAUGUCCAGUAUUGUUGAAUUUUAUAGAAAACGAGGUUGAAAUUCUGAAUCGUUUAAUGGCUGUAGUUGCAAUUCAUAACUGCAUAUUUGAUGAGGUCAAUUUUUUUGUGCCUGGGAGGGUACUAAAACGGGAAUAGGAGUGGUUGUUGAUAAUUAGGAUAUAAGGGUUAUAAAUCUAAAGUUAUAAAGCUAAGAAGUGUUUACCAAAGUCGUGACAUCCAUUGACUUGAGUGAGAACAAUAGAAAACAAUGGUGAGUAGUUUGCCGUGAGACAAAGUAACUGAACUUGACCAACCCCUGAAUCUUGUCUGAAGGGGUAACUACACAAUCCUUUGCAUCUUUGCAUGCAAUCAAUAACUAUAUUCUCUAUUGAGUUUUCAGCUUUGAUUCCACUCUGCUAUUAUAUGCUGUCCUCUGCCAUUUUAUUUUUUUAUUUUUUUAUCAAUUCUCUCAAGUUUGCUUAUGUUGCUUUCUGACUCUGGCACCUGAAGAAAUCAAGCAUAUGAUUGAUAAUGUUUUGCUGGUUAUAUGUACUUCCUAGAUCAAAGUUAUGAAGGAAACGUAUUUGCCUGAAAUAAAUGAAAUGUACCAGAGAAUUGCUACCAAGUUACAGCAGGUAAAUUGUCUUUGUAAUUUUUUCUGAAUUAUUUGCUCACACAUGAUUCAUACAGUUGAGCUUUUGUAUUAAUUUGUUUUCCCCAUCAGCAUUGCUUGUCACUGUAUCAUCUGCACUAAUUACCCCCACCCCCACCCCCAACCACCCCACAACCAUGCAUUGACACAGAAGAAUUGGAAUAGAAACAUUUUUUUCACUUAUGUUUUACUAGUUUUGCUACAAAGGGUCAAUGCAAUUUUUAAUUCUCAUGUAUGUUACCUUUGCUUUCCAGCAUGACCCUCUUCCGCAACAACCAAAGUCAGAACAGCUUGAAAAGCUGAAGGUAUUCAAGGUCAUGUUGGAGCGCUUGAUAACAUUCUUACAGGUCUCUAAAAACAACAUCACACCUACUUUCAAGGAGAAAUUGGGUUUCUAUGAGAAGCAGAUUGUAGGUUUUCUAAACCCAAGCAGAUACAGGAAGCCCUAUCCUAAUCUACAGCAAGGACAACUUCCCCAACCUCAUAUUCAACCUAUGCAGCAACCCCAAUCUCAAGUUCCUCAAUUGCAGUCCCAUGAAAAUCAACUGAAUCCCAGUUGCAAUCAAUGAAUAUGCAAGGUUCUGUA
rnacentral:lncRNA from 1 species